GUUUCGCUGACGAGUGGCGGAACGGGUGAGUAAUGUCUGGGAAACUGCCUGAUGGAGGGGGAUAACUACUGGAAACGGUAGCUAAUACCGCAUAACGUCGCAAGACCAAAGAGGGGGACCCCUCGGGCCUCUUGCCAUCGGAUGUGCCCAGAUGGGAUUAGCUUGUUGUGGGGUAACGGCUCACCAAGGCGACGAUCCCUAGCUGGUCUGAGAGGAUGACCAGCCACACUGGAACUGAGACACGGUCCAGACUCCUACGGGAGGCAGCAGUGGGGAAUAUUGCACAAUGGGCGCAAGCCUGAUGCAGCCAUGCCGCGUGUAUGAAGAAGGCCUUCGGGUUGUAAAGUACUUUCAGCGGGGAGGAAGGGAGUAAAGUUAAUACCUUUGCUCAUUGACGUUACCCGCAGAAGAAGCACCGGCUAACUCCGUG
rnacentral:rRNA from 1 species